AUACGUAGGGAGCGAGCGUUGUCCGGAAUUACUGGGCGUAAAGGGCGCGUAGGCGGCGCUUCAAGUCGUCUGUCAAAUGGAAGGGCUUAACCCUUUUUCGCAGACGAAACUGGAGAGCUUGAGAAGCAGAGAGGCAAACAGAAUUCCUGGUGUAGCGGUGAAAUGCGUAGAUAUCAGGAAGAAUACCAGUGGCGAAGGCGGUUUGCUGGCUGCAUACUGACGCUGAAGCGCGAAAGCCAGGGGAGCGAACGGGAUUAGAUACCCCGGUAGUCCUGGCAGUAAACGAUGUAUGCUGGGUGUGAGACUAGCGAUAGUUUCGUGCCGAAGUUCACGCGAUAAGCAUACCGCCUGGGGAGUACGGUCGCAAGAUUGAAACUCAAAGGAAUUGACGGGG
rnacentral:rRNA from 1 species